CUUUUCCGGUUAGGACUUCAACAUGUACAAACUUUGCCGUGUCCGUGAAACUGCUACUGGCCCCAAGAAUGUACCUUACAUAACUACUCAUGAUGGCAGAACUAUUCGCUACCCUGAUCCAUUGGUUAAAGUCAAUGACACUAUUGCGGUUAACAUUGCUGCUGGCAAAAUGGAGUUCAUUAAGUUUGAUUCAGGCAAUCUUGUGAUGAUCACUGGUGGACAUAACUUGGGACGUUUUGGGACCAUAUGGACCAAUCCAUGCAUGUGAUUAAUUCGAUGAACUUUUAGAAUGAGACUGAUGUAGAUCAGGGCUCUCCAAACUACGGCCCGCUGGCCAAAUGUGAGGUCCUCUCAUACGGCCCGCUGUGAUCUUUUUGUCCACGGAUAAAAAUCUUUUUUGGAGGUAGCUGAGGAACUCUGCCCAGAAAAUUCAAAACAAUUUUAAAAUAUAGCUUUGGGUACAAAUACCACUGCCUGCUACAUUGGUGAAAACAUUGUGACUCAAAUAGCAAAAAAAUGCAAGCAAGUUCAGCAAUUUUUCAAUUGCAAUGGAUGAAGACAUGAACAUAACACAAGAGCUGGCACUGUUACCUGAGAGGACAUAUUCAAACAUUUGCUGAUUAUUGCUUGGACUGGAUUAACCUCAGUUAUCUGACUGUUGAUGGAAGAAAGAGCUUGAGUGGAAUAAAGAAAGGCUUGGUUGGACAAGUUAAUCAAAUGUGUAAUGAGAAACACAUUUUACAACCAAUGUUCCUGCACUGUGUUAUUCAUGAGCAAGCUUUGUGUGCUUAAUAUGUGGAAAUAAGCAGUGUACUGAAUCCUGUGUUGAAGAUAGUGAAUUUCUUAAAGUCACAUGGGCUCAACUAUUAGGGUUAGACAGAAAAAGUGAGACUUUCAAAAACCCAUUUUAAGCAAAUGUGGCCAGUUGCCCAGAUUAACUGCAGCUGGAGGUCACUGAACUGCAAGCAAACGAACUUCAUAUAGACCAGUUCAAAGAAGGGCUGGUGGGUUUUUUAUAAGUUUUUAACCCAAGGAUAAAAUUUGCUACUAUUAAAACAUUUGCAUGGAAGUACCUUUCAAAUUUUGCAACAUACCUGUGACGUAUUCACAAGGCUAGAUAAUUUAACAAGACACUAUAGCAUAGCGCACAACAAAUCUCAUCAGCAACCACCUCAUCAGCAACCGACAGACAAACCGAACAACCCACAUUAGCGACUGACACUGACAAACAGUCCGUACAUCUAGCUACAAUACACAUAUGACGACAUCAAACAAAAACAAGUAAAGACACCUCACAACGCCAGUAACCUUCAUUUAGACACCAAUGCUAUACCUAACUGUAAGUCUAUUUCAUUUAUGUCGUCUAAAUGCAGGUCUACCACAUCUUCCCUUAGGUCAUCUAUAGGUAUAGCAUCGGGAACUACAAAACAUAUGCAUUGACAAUUGGCACGCCAUACAGGCAAACAUUUAUCCACAUUCAAUUUUUUCACAGCCCAAUAGGCACUUCCAACAGACUGGGAUGCAAAACUUGUAGACACCAUUUUUACCACAAACUAAACGAUUCAAUAUCAACUAGUCAUCACACCAUAUUAAAACAAAGCGAUAGGGGAAUAUUGCUUCUUACGAGUAAUAACAAUGCAUUCGUCCUUGGGGUUCUAAAUUAAUUAACAAUAGGCAAGAUUUUAAAUAUUUUUUAGAACACUUAAACAAGGCAGACAUUCUAAACAACACACUAGCCCAAAUACUAAACAUGCGGUAGAGGUCAUACCAGCCACCACCUUUUAUCUCUAUCACCUCAACGAAUAUCUCAUAGGCUUCCUUCUCACAGACGUUCACGAUUUUAUCAAACAUAAUCACGCCAUUAACGUUUUACAACAUGAUUCAAAUUCAAAACCCUACACAGACAAUUUGUUUUUUUUUAGAUGUUUAGCCACACAUAACCAUUCAUCCACAAGGGAUCUUAGAAAAGCAACACUAAAUCUCGCGAGACAGUGGCAAGAACAUCAAGGUCUCGAGACCUUGAAUAAUUUUAGUGGGGUUAGUCGAAAUCUCCCUCUUAGAGUGUUGUUUUACUAAGUUUUAGUUUAAAUAUUGACAUUUUUGAAUUUAAUGAAAACCAAGGCCUUUGUCCCAAACUUAGAAGUAGUGAUAGAUUCAGGGAGACGAUGUAUCUUUUAUUUUUUAAUACCCAUUUUAUGUACAUUAAUAAUAUAGAUGGGGCGGGGCACUCUUUCGCGUGUUCCGUGUAACAAGUUAUGGCCCACAGUUUUGCAGUUUAACAGACACGCGAAAGGGUGUAAUGGGGGCGAACCCGUAGAUAGGUAUGGGG